rnacentral:rRNA from 1 species
CCUACGGGAGGCUGCAGUGAGGAAUAUUGGUCAAUGGACGAGAGUCUGAACCAGCCAAGUAGCGUGAAGGCUGACUGCCCUAUGGGUUGUAAACUUCUUUUAUAUGGGAAUAAAACGUUCCACGUGUGGGAUUUUGUAUGUACCAUAUGAAUAAGGAUCGGCUAACUUCGUGCCAGCAGCCGCGGUAAUACGGAGGAUCCGAGCGUUAUCCGGAUUUAUUGGGUUUCAAGGGAGCGUAGGUGGAUUGUUAAGUCAGUUGUGAAAGUUUGCGGCUCAACCGUAAAAUUGCAGUUGAAACUGGCAGUCGUGAGUACAGUAGAGGUGGGCGGAAUUCGUGGUGUAGCGGUGAAAUGCUUAGAGAUCACGAAGAACUCCGAUUGCGAAGGCAGUUCACUGGACUGCAACUGACACUGAGGCUCGAAAGUGUGGGUAUCAAACAGGAGUAGAGACCCUUGUAGUC